UGUUAAAGGUUUUCUGAUAAUGGCCUGUGAAAUUCCUGUUUUCCAUUUUUGAAAGAAUCUCUCCUACAUCUAUGAGUGAAAAUGCUUCCAUUGAAAACAGACUUUUGAAAGAGUACAUCAAGUGCCUUAAAAAAGAUGCAAUUAUAUCAACAAAUGAAAAAAAAAAGAGGUCUAGCCCAACUUCCAGUUUGAAGUAACCCACCAACCGGAGUAGAACCGCUGGCUGGCUUCUACAGAAUGGCGCCCAAAGUGGGGCUCUGAUGUGGGAGAAAUGGACUAAAGGCCACACUGUCAGAUACAGAGCUCUGAAUAAAAAGAAAGAAGGAACCAAAGGAA